AAAAACAUCGCUCUUUGUUUAUUUAGUAUAAAGAGUCGAACCUGCCCGGUGAUUAGGUUUAACGGCCGCGGUACUCUGACCGUGCAAAGGUAGCAUAAUCAUUUGCCUUAUAAUUGAAGGCUAGUAUGAAUGGUUUGACAAGAAUAGUACUGUCUCCGCGCAAAUUUUAUAAAAUUUGGUUUUUAGGUGAAGAAACCUAAAUAGAAUUGAAAGACAAGAAGACCCUAUCGAGCUUGAAAUAACUUUUUUGAGGUUUAUAGCAAAACUACUUUCAUAAGAAAAUUUUGGUUGGGGCGACUAAGGAACAUUUAAAGCUUCCUAUAAAAUAUAUAAACUUAUAUGUUUUGAUCCAGAAGUUUUGAUUAACAGAAUUAGUUACCGUAGGGAUAACAGCAUAAUCUUUUUUAAGAGUUCUUAUCGAAAAAAAGGUUUGUGACCUCGAUGUUGGACUAGGAUACCCAGAAAGGUGCAGAAGCCUUCAAUGGUUGGUCUGUUCGACCACUAAUAUCCUACGUGAUCU
rnacentral:rRNA from 1 species